rnacentral:rRNA from 1 species
GAUGAACGCUGGCGGCGUGCCUGAUACAUGCAAGUCGAACGCACAGCGAAAGGUACUUGCACCUUUCAAGUGAGUGGCGAACGGGUGAGUAACACGUGGACAACCUGCCUCAAGGCUGGGGAUAACAUUUGGAAACAGAUGCUAAUACCGAAUAAAACUCAGUGUCGCAUGACACAAAGUUAAAAGGCGCUUUGGCGUCACCUAGAGAUGGAUCCGCGGUGCAUUAGUUAGUUGGUGGGGUAAAGGCCUACCAAGACAAUGAUGCAUAGCCGGGUUGAGAGACUGAUCGGCCACAUUGGGACUGAGACACGGCCCAAACGCCUACGGGAGGCUGCAGUAGGGAAUCUUCCACAAUGGGCGAAAGCCUGAUGGAGCAACGCCGCGUGUGUGAUGAAGGCUUUCGGGUCGUAAAGCACUGUUGUAUGGGAAGAACAGCUAGAAUAGGGAAUGAUUUUAGUUUGACGGUACCAUACCAGAAAGGGACGGCUAAAUACGUGCCAGCCGCCGCUGUAA